rnacentral:lncRNA from 1 species
GGUUGUCGGCGGUUUGCGCUUCGGUGGCGGCUCAGGCUUUGGUUCGGGUUUGGGUUCUGGUUUAGGCAUCGGUUCAGGCUUGGGCUCGGGUUUUGGUUCAGGUUUAGGCAUGGGCUUAGGCAUGGGCUCAGGCUUUGGUUCUGGUUUAGGCAUUGGCUUAGGCUUGGGUUCGGGUUUUGGCUCUGGUUUGGGCAUUGGCUCAGGCUUGGGUUCUGGUUUAGGCAUGGGCUCAGGCUUUGGUUCCGGUUUAAUUGGCUCAGGCUUCGGUUCCGGCUUAGGCAUUGGCUCGGGCUUGGGCUCAGGUUUUGGCUCAGGUUUAGGCAUUGGCUCGGGUUUGGGCUCAGGUUUAGGCUCAGGUUUAGGCACUGGCUCAGGCUUAGGCUCGGGUUUAGGCUCAGGUUUAGGCACUGGCUUAGGCAUGGGCUCGGGUUUUGGUUCCGGUUUAGGCAUUGGCUCAGGUUUGGGCUCGGGUUUAGGCUCGGGUUUAGGCAUUGGCUUAGGCAUGGGCUCGGGUUUUGGUUCCGGUUUGGGCAUGGGCUCUGGUUUUGGCUCGGGUUUUGGCAUUGGCUUAGGCAUGGGCUCUGGUUUUGGUUCCGGUUUAGGCAUCGGCUCAGGUUUCGGCUCUGGUUUAGGCAUUGGUUUGGGCAUUGGUUCCGGCUUGGGCUCUGGCUUCGGCUCGGGCUUGGGCAUGGGUUCAG